UACAGAGGGCGCGAGCGUUGUCCGGAAUCACUGGGCGUAAAGGGCGCGUAGGCGGUGGCCUAAGCGCGCGGUGAAAGCCCGGGGCUCAACCCCGGGUCGGCCGUGCGGACUGGGCGACUCGAGCUCACUAGGGGCGGGCGGAAUUCCGGGUGUAGCGGUGGAAUGCGUAGAGAUCCGGAAGAACACCGGUGGCGAAGGCGGCCCGCUGGGGUGAGGCUGACGCUGAGGCGCGACAGCGUGGGGAGCAAACAGG
rnacentral:rRNA from 1 species